CGACGUGAGUAACCUGCCUUGGAGUGGGGAAUAACAGCUGGAAACAGCUGCUAAUACCGCAUAAUAUAUCUGGGUCGCAUGGCUCUGGAUAUCAAAGAUUUAUCGCUCUGAGAUGGACUCGCGUCUGAUUAGCUGGUUGGCGGGGUAACGGCCCACCAAGGCGACGAUCAGUAGCCGGACUGAGAGGUUGGCCGGCCACAUUGGGACUGAGACACGGCCCAGACUCCUACGGAAGGCAGCAG
rnacentral:rRNA from 1 species